rnacentral:sRNA from 1 species
CUGUCUUCCUCUCUCGCCCCUUGGCUUCCCUUCCCGGCCCCGUGGUGGCUGCAGCCCAGCCCUGGGGAGCCCCUGUGGAAGUGGAGUCCUUCCUGGUCCACCCCGGUGACCUGCUGCAGCUUCGCUGUCGGCUGCGGGACGAUGUGCAGAGCAUCAACUGGCUGCGGGACGGGGUGCAGCUGGCGGAAAGCAACCGCACCCGCAUCACAGGGGAGGAGGUGGAGGUGCAGGACUCCGUGCCCGCAGACUCCGGCCUCUAUGCUUGCGUAACCAGCAGCCCCUCGGGCAGUGACACCACCUACUUCUCCGUCAAUGUUUCAGAUGCUCUCCCCUCCUCGGAGGAUGAUGAUGAUGAUGAUGAUGACUCCUCUUCAGAGGAGAAAGAAACAGAUAACACCAAACCAAACCGUAUGCCCGUAGCUCCAUAUUGGACAUCCCCAGAAAAGAUGGAAAAGAAAUUGCAUGCAGUGCCGGCUGCCAAGACAGUGAAGUUCAAAUGCCCUUCCAGUGGGACCCCAAACCCCACACUGCGCUGGUUGAAAAAUGGCAAAGAAUUCAAACCUGACCACAGAAUUGGAGGCUACAAGGUCCGUUAUGCCACCUGGAGCAUCAUAAUGGACUCUGUGGUGCCCUCUGACAAGGGCAACUACACCUGCAUUGUGGAGAAUGAGUACGGCAGCAUCAACCACACAUACCAGCUGGAUGUCGUGGAGCGGUCCCCUCACCGG